GACAUGGCCGCGACAUGGCCGCCGAGGGGCUGCUGGGGCGGCAGCCGGCGGGGGUCGGAAAAUGCGGGAUAUGUGAAGGCACAGUGAGAUGCAUCAGGCUCACAGCCCUAGUUUUAUCAUGGAGAUGUGAAAAAAAUGCCAGUGCCAUACAAGUCUCAGUAUUUAAUUGUUUUUACCAUG